rnacentral:tRNA from 1 species
GGGCAUUUGGCACAGUGGCAGCGCGCACGCUUCGCAUCUAGGCAACCUGCGUGAGGUCCAGGGUUCAAUCCCCUGAAUGUCCA